GGGAGGGAGCGGGGGCGGCCAGCGCGGCGGCCCCUGGGAGGUGUAGUGCCGCUCUCUGGGCGCCGGGGGGGAGCAUCGCGCCGAGAACUACAGCGACCGUGGUGCAGUGCGGAGGGGGUGGGGCGGGCUCGCCGAGCAGCGUGGUUGGCCCGAAAGGACGGCGUCAGCCGACUGCCGGGCUGCGAGCGACCAACACAAUGUGGGCACUGCUGCGAAACAACAACUUGUACAGUUCCUCGUUAGUAUAGUGGUGUGCAGUGUGUUUUCUUCUCCAGAGGAUGUUAUUUAACUGUACUCAGUGAUCUGGCAACAUCAGGGUGUCAUCAUGACGGGCUCAGGUUACACUCCUUUCAAGUCUGAUGCUGGUGGUGCACCACAGAAACUGCAGAUGCUAAGACAACUGAAGAACUACACACUUUGUAAUUUAAGGCUAGCAAACCCAGUCAAGUUCCUUAUAAUGAGAGGAAUAUGAAAUAACAAUACUUCAGCAUUGUAGUAACUGGCCAACAACCAAGAAUUUCAUUAAAGCCUUGAGCAUUUAAGAAUACAAUU